GACGAACGCUGGCGGCGUGCUUAACACAUGCAAGUCGAACGGUAAGGCUCCAGCUUGCUGGGGUACACGAGUGGCGAACGGGUGAGUAACACGUGGGUGACCUGCCCUGCACUUCGGGAUAAGCCUGGGAAACUGGGUCUAAUACCGGAUAGGACCAUGGUGUGGAUACUGUGGUGGAAAGUUUUUUCGGUGUGGGAUGGGCCCGCGGCCUAUCAGCUUGUUGGUGGGGUAAUGGCCUACCAAGGCGGCGACGGGUAGCCGGCCUGAGAGGGUGGACGGCCACAUUGGGACUGAGACACGGCCCAGACUCCUACGGGAGGCAGCAGUGGGGAAUAUUGCACAAUGGGCGGAAGCCUGAUGCAGCGACGCCGCGUGGGGGAUGACGGCCUUCGGGUUGUAAACUCCUUUCACCAUCGACGAAGGGUUUCUGACAGUAGAUGGAGAAGAAGCACCGGCUAACUACGUG
rnacentral:rRNA from 1 species